UACGUAGGGUGCAAGCGUUAAUCGGAAUUACUGGGCGUAAAGCGUGCGCAGGCGGUUUUGUAAGCCAGAUGUGAAAUCCCCGGGCUUAACCUGGGAAUGGCAUUUGGGACUGCAAGGCUUGAGUGCGGCAGAGGAGACUGGAAUUCCUGGUGUAGCAGUGAAAUGCGUAGAUAUCAGGAGGAACACCGAUGGCGAAGGCAGGUCUCUGGGCUGACACUGACGCUCAUGCACGAAAGCGUGGGGAGCAAACAGGG
rnacentral:rRNA from 1 species